CGGGUGAUGGAGCAGUGGGGAAAAGAUGUCCGAAAGACAGAGCCAGCUGCAGCACGCGCAGAACGAGACAGACGCGCAGCCGCGUCGGACAGGGGGUUGGGCGCGGUCCUGACCCAGCAGGUGGGAGGGGGCCGAUCGACCGGUUCUGUACCUGAGCCACAAACUGUCAGCACGUUUGAGAAGGAGUGUCUCGGCAUCCAAAGGGAGGUCAGCCCCCUUCGCUACUAUCUGCUGGGUCGCGCGUUCACCCUCCACUCUGACCACGCCCCCCUCCAGUGUCUCCACCGCAUGAAGGAUGUCAACACGAGGAUUACCCGGUGGUAAUUCACGUUGCAACCCUUCAACUUUCAGGUUGUGCACAGGCCUGGGGUGCAGAUGGCCGUGAUGGACUUCCCCUCCCUGUUCCGGGGGGGGGUGAGGACUGGAGCACAUGGAGUACCAUUGCGAGAAAGUCUCUUGGAACGCCCCCUGUGAC
ensembl:lncRNA